GACGAACGCUGGCGGCGUGCUUAACACAUGCAAGUCGAGCGGUAAGGCCCUUUCGGGGGUACGACGAGCGGCGAACGGGUGAGUAACACGUGGGUGACCUGCCUCUAGCUCUGGGAUAAGCCUGGGAAGCUGGGUCUAAUACCGGAUAUGACCUCGCGGUGCAUGUUGCGGGGUGGAAAGCCUUGUGCGGCUAGGGAUGGGCCCGCGGCCUAUCAGCUUGUUGGUGGGGUGAGGCCUACCAAGGCGACGACGGGUAGCCGGCCUGAGAGGGCGACCGGCCACACUGGGACUGAGACACGGCCCAGACUCCUACGGGAGGCAGCAGUGGGGAAUCUUGCGCAAUGGGCGAAAGCCUGACGCAGCGACGCCGCGUGAGGGAUGACGGCCU
rnacentral:rRNA from 1 species